UACAGGGCGAUUAUCACCGUCUCCACGUACGGAUAUUUCGAACGAAUUCGAUUUCCGAUUAUUUUAUUCCGCGUUCGUCGUCGUGUUGUAGAAUAUACGCACACACUUUUAUUUCCAUUUAAAUGUACUCCGUAUUCCCUUUCCGAAGCCGUGGGGAUCGCUAUAUAAAUCAAAAGCCGACACGCGUUCAUAACGGUAUUUAAAGGUUUAGUGUAAAAAAAAAAAAACUGCAAGCGAUAUCAUUAAAUCAAUUGCAUGACAACUGAAAAAUUCAAUUUUACUUAAAAUCUCCGCGAACAAGUCGCAUCAUAAACACCUCGACCAAUGAUUUUCGGGCCAAAUCAUUCAGUACAAAUCAUUUGAACGAUUUCGUGUGAUCAUUUCAGCACCCACCCU